ensembl:lncRNA
AGGGGAUCCUCUGUUAGUCUUUCCUUACUUUGAUCUCAUUUUAAAAAUCACUCUGGAAAUUUCAUCAGUGGGACACAAAACCAGAGAUUUCUUUUGUUCCUGCUUCCUUUCCUGUGGCCAGGUCUGACUAUGUGCUUAAACGAGGUGGAGAGAAUAAUUAUCCUCAAGGCCCAGAUGCAGGAAGAUGAGGAUAGGGACCAUUGAUAAGGAAGUCUGGAAAGAUUCUGAAGAGCUUUGAAUCCCAGGUCCUUUCCAGCUUCAAGCCUGUGCGAAGAUUAAAUCAGAGAACAAGGGCUCCUGUUCCAGAGACCAGAGCAGCUUGUAGAAAUCCAUUCCCCUCUUCCCCCUCAGUAAGAGAAUUCCGAUUUUAUUUGGAAAGGCAAAGUGCCUGGCUAAAAGCCUACCUUUCCUAGCCCUUUUGGCACCUGGGUGUGAUCAUGUGACCGAUGGUUCGGCUAAUGAAGUGUGAACAGAAAUUGUUAGUGGAGACUCAGAAGAUUCCUUCCAGGAGACAGACAGCUGUCUGUGAUGUGCAGAUAAUGGCUGAGCUCCAUCUUUUCUCAUGAAGUGACCACGAGGAAGGAAACACCGUGAUAAGGAGUCCCAAGCAAACAGGAGAGGGGUAAAUAUCCCAAGCCCCUGGUGAUUGUGAGCCUCCAUACUUGCCCUGGGCUGCCCUCUAUUUCUCUGAAAGGGAGAGGAAGGGAGA